rnacentral:other from 2 species
GUUUCCCUGCCUGGUUCGCCAAGGUCAUACAUUCCUUGAACCGAUAAGCAAUGCUUGGUACGGGAUCAUGCAUCGUGGGCGCGCGCGUCUCCCGUGACAUAGCGUCAGGCUCGACCUGGGGCUCCCUGUCCGGCUGAUGUACCCGAAAUGAUGCUACCGUAACCGCUCUGAACCAUACUUGGGUUCAGGACUGUGGCCUAGCGGCCGAGGCGGGGACCCA